AGCUAGCCCUGAUUACAGUGAAAAUACCCUUUGAUAUAGUUUUAAACUAUGUCAAAGGUAUUGUAACGGAAAGCAGGAAAAUGG
rnacentral:sRNA from 2 species